rnacentral:rRNA from 1 species
GAUGAACGCUGGCGGCGUGCCUAAUACAUGCAAGUCGAGCGAACAGAUGAGGCGCUUGCUCCUCUGACGUUAGCGGCGGACGGGUGAGUAACACGUGGAUAACCUACCUAUAAGACUGGGAUAACUUCGGGAAACCGGAGCUAAUACCGGAUAAUAUAUUGAACCGCAUGGUUCAAUAGUGAAAGACGGUUUUGCUGUCACUUAUAGAUGGAUCCUCGCCGCAUUAGCUAGUUGGUAAGGUAACGGCUUACCAAGGCAACGAUGCGUAGCCGACCUGAGAGGGUGAUCGGCCACACUGGAACUGAGACACGGUCCAGACUCCUACGGGAGGCAGCAGUAGGGAAUCUUCCGCAAUGGGCGAAAGCCUGACGGAGCAACGCCGCGUGAGUGAUGAAGGUCUUCGGAUCGUAAAACUCUGUUAUUAGGGAAGAACAAAUGUGUAAGUAACUAUGCACGUCUUGACGGUACCUAAUCAGAAAGCCACGGCUAACUACGUG